AGGGGUAUAGCUCAGUCGGUAGAGCAUCGGUCUCCAAAACCGAGGGUCGUGGGUUCGAGUCCCUCUGCCCCUGCCA
rnacentral:tRNA from 2 species